GUAGUUCAGUGAGAGACUCGGAGAAAGUGAAACUUACUUGAUCAACAACAUGGACGCCAGAAACCAUCGAACUCUUUAAACAACAGAAUAUUGAGUCGUUCAGAGACACUUGUGAACACAUCUGAUACUCACAGCAGGUCAUAGUUCAGAUUGCUCAGCUUUAAGAGGGAAAGAACAAUGGCAGAAUCUUCACUAACAGCAAGAAAAACCAGGAGACGGAGUAUUGACCUGGAUCCUCCAUCAAUGUCAUCCUCCAUGAGUUCACUGUCUGAGGAGAUUCAGUGCUCUGUAUGUCUGGAUGUGUUCACUGAUCCAGUCUCGACUCCAUGUGGACACAACUUCUGCAAGAUCUGUCUGAAUAAGUGCUGGGACAACAGCCAGACCUGCAGCUGUCCAUACUGUAAAGAAACAUUCAAGCAAAGACCUGAUCUCAA